ensembl:lncRNA
CAUUAUUAUACUAUAUUAUCAUACAUAUAUUGUUAUAAUAUAGUAUGACAUGCAAUAUAUUAUAUAUUAUGUUAUAAUGCAUAUUAUACUGUGUUAUGUCAUAACAUAGUAUAAUACAUUUUAUACUGUAAUAUAGUGUAAUAAUAUGAUAUAUAAUAUACAUAUCCACACAUGCACACACAUUUUUAAAUAUAGUUCAGAAGCAGAGUAGGUGAUUUUUAAACUGUGGGAAUAAAUGAAAUCACAAGAGUAGAGAGAAAAUGGGGGCAGCUAGGUGGAGCAGCACCUGCCCUGAAGUCAGGAGGACCUGAGUUCAAAUCCAGCCUCAGACCAAACACUUGACACUUACUAGCUGUGUGACCCUGGGCAAGUCACUUAACCCCAAUUGCCUAAAGAAAGAGAGAGAGAGAGAGAGAGAGAGAGAGAGAGAGAGAGAGAGAGAGAGAAUGAAAGAAUUCCUACAGAACCUAUAGAGAUGGGCACCAGAAGCUGAAGGUGAAUCAACGGAAAAGAUCCAAGAGGAUUGGUCAGAAAGGUCGGAGGACAACCAGUGACCGGUGUCACAAAAUCUGAAAGAGGGGAGAGCUUCUGGCAGAGGAGUUGGGGGGUGGCUGAUGUUAAAGGCUUCAGAAAAGCCCAGGUCAAUGAGGGCAGUGAGGAGGCUGUUGAUGUCCGGUUGGUUGGGAAGCUCAGGGAUGAGGGCAGAUGCUCCAUGGCAAGGGGCCGAGGCCCUAGUGAGUGGGUGGGCUGGUGGGGAUGGGGGGGAGAGUUGGAGGUUACAGGAAGAGACCCCUUUUAGGAAGUCUGGCAAUGAAAGAAAGGCCACAAGAGCCUUGUUCGAGGUGGCCGGCGAGUUUCCUGCCGAAUGCGCUUCGUUUCAUUUUCUCCUGGGGGGUUUCCUGUGUUUUCCAGCUCUGUUCGGAUCAUCGCCAGCAGCAGCAACAUCUGGGUUCUCCUUGCUGCAGGGAACUCAGAUGAACUGGUUUGAGCUGACGUCAAAUAAAGCCGAUGGGCUGCAGAUUGGCCGGGGUGGGGGUGGGGGGCGGCCAAUAAAGCUGGCCCCUCCCACUUCCCCUGACUGUCGCCCGCCCCCACCCCUUCGCCAGAAUGCUGGAGAUCAUUAGGAACCCAGAGUUGUCAUCUGAUCUCCAUCUGGCCGCCGUCACUACAGCUGCCUUUGAUCGCUUGCCAAAAGUGUACGGGUAAGCGUCUCCUCUUUCUCACAGAUUUCUGCUUGUAAUCCUUACGUUUGUAAUUUUCUGGGCUGCUGCAAGUAAUUCCCUUUUUGUGUGGAUCUCAGGAAUGCUCCCAGGGAUCAUGGAAAGGACCCACUAGGCUGUUUGACACACCACCUUUUCUGUACACUGGAUUUGAUUGAAAUUACUGCUGAUUUCCAUAGUGCUGAACUUUGAAGUUUGAUGUGGUUUGAAAUUCUGGUAUGUUUAUGAGCAUCACACAGGGUAGGAUGCUUUCAUUUGUUGUGUUUUUUUGGGGGGGGGUGUUUUCUUUCUUUUUAUUCACUAACUUUUAAAAUUUUUGUUGGUGUCCUUUGCUUCUUACACUAUAAUUAUUUCCCCCAAGUGGCCCUUCGAUUUUGGAACUCUUGGAACAUUUAAGCACACAGUUCAACAAAAUGAUCAUCAUAUACAACAUUCUGCUCCUGUCAUUCCCACCUUUCCAUGGAGUCAACAAACAUUUACCAAGUUCCUACUACACAUCAGGCAUUCUGUUAAACGCUGGGCUUACAAAGAAAGGCAGGAACCGUCCCCUGCCCUCAAGGUGCUCCCAAUCUAAUGGGGAGACAAAAUGCAAACAACUAUGUGUGUACAAACAACACAGGAUAAAUUGGAGAUGGUCUGCAAAGAUCCUAGCACCAAGGAUGACAGAGGAAGGCUUUCUACAGAAGUCAAGAUUUCAGCUAAGACUGCUUUAUCAUCUCUUCUCCAGAACCUAGUCCUGGUCAUACUCAUUCAUCUGAGUUCAACUGCCUUUUAGAGUUUUUCUCCCCUGCAUGACUGUAGUCAUUCUGUUAACUGUUAUCCUAGUGCUUUAUUUUGCUCUGCAUCAGUUCACACAACUCUUCUCAUGCUUCUCUGAAUUUCACAUGUUGUUUCUUAAGGGAAG